UACGGGGGGGGCAGCGUUGUUCGGAAUUACUGGGCGUAAAGGCUCGUAGGCGGCCAACUAGUCGGAUGUGAAAUCCCCAGGCUUAACCUGGGAACUGCAUCCGAUACUGGAUGGCUUGAAUCCGGGAGAGGGAUGCAGAAUUCCAGGUGUAGCGGUGAAAUGCGUAGAUAUCUGGAGGAAUACCGGUGGCGAAGGCGGCAUCCUGGACCGGCAUUGACGCUGAUGAGCGAAAAGCUAGGGGGAGCAAACGGGG
rnacentral:rRNA from 1 species